GUGUCAGCAGCCGCGGUAAGACGAACCGUGCAAACGUUGUUCGGAAUCACUGGGCUUAAAGGGCGCGUAGGCGGGUGGUCAAGUCAGGGGUGAAAUCUUUCCGCUCAACGGGAAAACAGCUUUUGAUACUGGCCAUCUUGAGGGGGGUAGGGGCAUGUGGAACUUCCGGUGGAGCGGUGAAAUGCGUAGAUAUCGGAAGGAACGCCGGUGGCGAAAGCGACGUGCUGGACCCUUUCUGACGCUGAGGCGCGAAAGCCAGGGGAGCAAACGGGAUUAGAUACCCCCGUAGUCC
rnacentral:rRNA from 1 species